UACAGAGGGUGCGAGCGUUAAUCGGAAUUACUGGGCGUAAAGCGUGCGUAGACGGUUAUUUAAGUCGGGUGUGAAAGCCCCGGGCUCAACCUGGGAAUUGCAUUCGAGACUGAAUAGCUAGGGUACGGUAGAGGGAAGUGGAAUUUCCGGUGUAGCGGUGAAAUGCGUAGAUAUCGGAAGGAACAUCAGUGGCGAAAGCGGCUUACUGGGUCUUUUCUGACGCUGAUGCACGAAAGCUAGGGGAGCAAACGGG
rnacentral:rRNA from 1 species